GCCCGCGUAGCGCAAUUGGUAGAGCAGCGGUCUCCAAAACCGUAAGUUGCAGGUUCAAAUCCUGUCGCGGGUG
rnacentral:tRNA from 1 species